GAUGAACGCUGGCGGCGUGCCUAAUACAUGCAAGUCGAGCGAACAGACGAGAAGCUUGCUUCUCUGAUGUUAGCGGCGGACGGGUGAGUAACACGUGGAUAACCUACCUAUAAGACUGGGAUAACUUCGGGAAACCGGAGCUAAUACCGGAUGAUAUUUUGAACCGCAUGGUUCAAAAGUGAAAGACGGUUUUGCUGUCACUUAUAGAUGGAUCCGCGCUGCAUUAGCUAGUUGGUAAGGUAACGGCUUACCAAGGCAACGAUGCGUAGCCGACCUGAGAGGGUGAUCGGCCACACUGGAACUGAGACACGGUCCAGACUCCUACGGGAGGCAGCAGUAGGGAAUCUUCCGCAAUGGGCGAAAGCCUGACGGAGCAACGCCGCGUGAGUGAUGAAGGUCUUCGGAUCGUAAAACUCUGUUAUUAGGGAAGAACAUAUGUGUAAGUAACUGUGCACAUCUUGACGGUACCUAAUCAGAAAGCCACGGCUAACUACGUG
rnacentral:rRNA from 1 species